rnacentral:misc_RNA from 1 species
AUCCCUCUACUGUGGGGUGGUGAGGGAAGCGUGCAAGUAGCUAGUGCCGCCGUUGCGUAGGAAAGAGAGACAUAAAAACAAUACUGCGCGACCCUCCGCACCAGACAAGGCCCGCCUUGCAUCUGUGAAAUCCCGGAUAUUCCUGCGCCUCUCGGUGCUCGACGUUGGUGUCGGAAUCUGGCGCAGCGUUGAUUCGAGGGCUGGUGCCUCACAAGCGCGAAAGGGGUUGUUUUGCGUUUAGCCGUGAGCGCCGUCGUUCACUAUCGACCCUCUCUGGAUCUCGCGGAGGCGCUGCUGAAGGGGGUCGUGCAGAGUCGACACAAGCGGGGUGGUCUUCUUUUUUUUUUCGAGCUCAAAGUGCCAGGUCUUCCUUGUUUUCCUUCGGCGGCGCCUGUCGUGUUCUCUGUGACGGCAGUGUACACUGCUUAGGCGGUCAGCUGAGUUCCGGCUGCGUUCUUGCGCGAUGAAGAUCGUGAUGGAAGGGCCCCCGCAAGGGGGCAAGACGACCGUCGCGUCUGUGGUGAAGGAGCGCUACGGCCUGUGCUAUGUGUCCACGAGCGAGGCCGUGCGAAAUGCGGUGCGCCUUGGCAAUAGCGCUUACAGCUCACAGCUGAAGCAGCUGAUCGACAACGACGAGCUCAUUCCCGAUUCGCUGGAAGUGAAGGUUGUCUGCGAGGCCACGAGACGACCGGACUGCGUCAAUGGCUUCGUGCUGGACGGUUUUCCGCGCACCCGCAAGCAGUCGAGGAUGAUGCAAGAUUUGGAGAACGUGAAAGUCGACAUUGUGGUCGAGUUGGAGAUUUCGGACAAAGAGCUACAGACUCGCUUCGGCGGUCGCUGGUACCACCCCAAGUCGGGACGCAUCUAUCACACCUUCUACAACCCGCCCCUGAAUGCAGGCAAGGACGACUACACCGGCGAGCCCCUGGUGCAGCACUCAGAGGACACGCCGGAGAGGAUCCGGCAGCGCAUGUCCCAGUAUCGCCAGCAGCUGAGCGAGGUGCGGAGCACCUUUGUAGGUAAUGCGUGGGUGACUGUAGAGGCAAGCGGCAAUGUGGAGUCUGUGCGGAACAACGUCUUCGCGGUGCUCGACCCUUUGUACUUUGCCCAAACCUCCAAGAAGGUGCCGAAGCCGUGGUGGAAAUUCUGGUGAAAGCACGAGUACCGCAAGCCGGCUGACGGUGGAGGUAAAGGUGGUGGAUGAGAAACGUAGAAAAGGCAGAAGAGGGAGGUGGUGCUCCCAGAAGAGUGCGAACACAAGCUCGCCAUAGGAGAGAUGGACAGUGGAAAUGCGACGGAGCGGACCUCAGUGGCUGCGCCUUACUGUCGCGGCUUUUGUUCGUACCGCUGCACGCACGCACGCGCAGACAGAUGGACGUAUGUGCAUGCGUGUCUAUUUCUCCGUUCUCUUGUUAUCGAAUCGACGUCCUUUCCUUCCACAUGCGUGUGCUGCUGUACCCGUGUGACCGUUGGUGGGCGCAACGAUACACACACACACACUCACACAGACGUGCGGAAAACAGCGUGUGCAUUUUGGUUGCUGGCGCUUCUGUAGACUGCCCUUUGGUGUGUGCGUGCGUGAGGGGCGUCUCGAGGGUCGACUCCUGGCAACGG